rnacentral:rRNA from 1 species
GAUGAACGCUGGCGGCGUGCCUAAUACAUGCAAGUCGAGCGAACAGAUGAGGAGCUUGCUCCUCUGACGUUAGCGGCGGACGGGUGAGUAACACGUGGAUAACCUACCUAUAAGACUGGGAUAACUUCGGGAAACCGGAGCUAAUACCGGAUAAUAUAUUGAACCGCAUGGUUCAAUAGUGAAAGACGGUUUAGCUGUCACUUAUAGAUGGAUCCGCGCCGCAUUAGCUAGUUGGUAAGGUAACGGCUUACCAAGGCAACGAUGCGUAGCCGACCUGAGAGGGUGAUCGGCCACACUGGAACUGAGACACGGUCCAGACUCCUACGGGAGGCAGCAGUAGGGAAUCUUCCGCAAUGGGCGAAAGCCUGACGGAGCAACGCCGCGUGAGUGAUGAAGGUCUUCGGAUCGUAAAACUCUGUUAUUAGGGAAGAACAAAUGUGUAAGUAACUAUGCACGUCUUGACGGUACCUAAUCAGAAAGCCACGGCUAACUACGUG